GGGCAGUUGUGGGUUGGGGAGACACUUCUGGCUCAGAAAGUCCCUCUCAGAAAGUCCCUUGUGGGGCCGGGGGAACACUUGUGGGACUUCCACCCCCCGUGACAUGCAGCCCCCCCAGGCCCUCUUGAGGACCUUCUCCUCUGGAUGCUGCGAUGCCACCACCAGGCCGUAAGGGGACGCCUUCAGUAGGACAUCCCCACCCCCAAAUUUCAGGGGUCUCUGCCUCCCCCAGGUCCCCCUAACUCCCCAUUUGCUCUCCCUUCCCUCCCCGAGGGCCAUCCAGACGCUCUUGGAAUGCCCACCUGGGCAUCCCCAGCCCAUGGUGGGGCCAAUAAAGCAAUGACACCGCAAAAUUGCACCAGGGAGGUGGGGAGACCCCCCAAAACUCCCUCCCUUACCUCCCCAACCUUUCGGAUUGCCCCCAAUCCCCUCUCCCUCCAAAUGUCCCCAAGAGCAUUUGGGGGCUUCUGGGGGCUCAAAAGUGGCUGUUGGUGGGGUGCUGGGUGUCUCUAGGGGGUCCGUGAGGGUCUUCGGGGUUUUUGGAGGGGCUCUGAGGAAGGGAUUUGGGGGGGGGGGGGGUGUAUGUGGAGCCCUGGAAAUCGGGAGUGGUUGGGAGCGCACUGGGUGUCUAUAGGGCAUCUAGAAGAGGUUUAUGGGAUUUUUUGGGGAGACUCUAGGAGUGUUGAGGAAAAUCUGUGAAAGAUCUUGGGUGUCCAGGUAGGGCUUGGGGGAGGGGUCUUUAACGGUCCGGGGGUCUGUGGGAUGUUUUGGGUGGCCCAGGACAGCGUUAGGAGGUCUGUGGGGACCAGGAAGUCUAUAGGGGCGCCACGGGGAACCCCCAAACCCGUGGGAGUGGGGCUCACCUGUCUUCUUCACCUUCACACGGCCGCGGUGGCGCCGGCGCAUUGUGGUGUCCCUCCGCCCCUGAGGGCGCUUGGGGGGGGGGGGGGUCAUGGAGGCGUCAGAAGCUCCUACUGAGCCCCCAAAAAUCCCUCGUGCCCUCCCCCCCGCCGCCCAUUGCCGCUGGUUCCGCGCCAGUUUACUCACUUCCUGGACUACAACUCCCGAAAGACCGCGGGGCCCCGAAGGAUGCCGAUAGAGCUGGGACUGCGGUUCCAGUCAUGCCGCGCGGUCCCUGAGAGUCCCGUCAGAGCUGGGACUGUCUCCUAAGUUCCGUCCCAGCUGCUCCCCAAGUGCUCCCCGAAAUCACCCUUGACCUGGGCGGGAACAACCGGUGACACUUGGCAGCCAAGGCAUUCCAGGGCCUCCUGUGGCUUUACAGGCUGUACCUGGACCGCAACCGGCUCCUGGAGGGGAUGCCCCCAGGGUCUCCACACUACAGUACCUAAUGGUGGCUGCCAGCAACGGUGGGAUGGGCCACCUGCCUGCCGGCAUUUUCAAGAAUCUGAGCAACUGCACAGCCUGAACCUGGAGAAUGCAGGACUGCACAGCCUUGGCCCUGAGGUCUUCUGCAACCUGACACAACUGAAGGAGCUGCACCUGGCCAAGAACGAGCUGCGUACAUUGCAUGUGACUCUGGCCAUGGAUUUGCUGCUUGAAAAUGUUUUACUUUCCAUAAGUUGUCUGGGCUGUGUUAUGCAAGAGGUCAGUGUUUAAAGAGAUUAUGAUGAUGUUACUUAUUAAUCUCCCUGGCAGCACAUCUGCAAGGCAGAUACUUUGCUCUCAAGACUUUAACUUCUGCAGAACUUACCCUUCCCUUGCUCAUAAUUUUCCUUUGCUGGGCUUCUCCCAGUAAACAUCACCAAAUCCCACAAGACCAGUCUUGACUGCACCAAAAUAAAAUUAAACUGGGAAUGUUAUUUUUCUCAAGGAUUUUAAGGUUUAUAAAUCACCUGUUCUGAAGUGAUAUGAGGUGUGUCAGGCAAGACCUAAAGGGUUUAGAGAUAAAAGCAGCAUUUUCCAUAUGUUUGUUAUGAAAAAUAAAAUAUUUUCACUCAGACAUGGCAGACUCUCCCUGCUGCUGCAGGGUUUGGGGAGGGAAUUUGGGGAGAUCCAGCAGGUCCUGACACCUCAUUUUUCCUUAAGUGAGGAUCCUGAAAUGGCAGAGGAAAAGUAUCAGGAAACUUUAGAAGCUGAGGAAAACUACCCAAAUACUGGUUGCUGAGGCUCUUGCCUGUGUUUUGAGCAGUGAAAGAAUAGUUGGGGCUGGAAGGGCCUCUGGAGAUCGACCAAAAAAGGUCCUGGUCUGGCACAAUCACCUCGCCUCAGAAUGUUUGGGGUUUGGGAGGUGAGACCUAAUUUGUGUCCCUGAAGAGAUGGAUGGAGUUUUCUCCAGGUUUGAGUUUGAAGGAAACAGAACUGUGACUGUUUGUGAAAAACACAUUCACUCUCCUGAGAAUUUUUUAAAAGUAUAAUAAAGGACAAUAGGAGACAAGGACCAUAAAGCAAAGGUUAUUAUGGCCAAGAGUAUCUUGGCACUGAGCCAAGACCAUACUGUUACCUUUGAGGAUACCCCUUAAAUACCUUUCCAAUUACAUCAGCCUGUUGCACAUUCAUAGACCCUUAUGCAUAUCCAUAAACUAGUUUAUAUUUUCCAGGAACUAUUUUACACAGACCCUCCUUUGGUCUGCCUUUUUAGAGCUUGUGUAUUUCUUGGCUGUGGUUUUGGCCCCUUCUCCUUAUCACUUCUAGUUUGGGCCUUGGUUCAUGCUUUCUUCAGAUGGUGAGUGCUGAUAGUUGGCAUAUCUGUAGCAGGUGUCCUCAUCCUGUGUUCAUUGGAUGUUAUCCCAUCCAUUUUGAUUUAACAUAACAUAAACCCAUUUUAACACAAGUAUAGCUAUUUUGCUACUAUGUCUAAGCUUAAUUAACAGUAGAAAUACCAACGAUAUCUUUAUAACAAAGUUACUUUAACAUCACACGUAUCAAAUCCAUUUUAAUAUUUGCGCAAAGCC